GACGAACGCUGGCGGCGUGCCUAAUACAUGCAAGUCGAGCGCAGGAAACUGACGGAACUCUUCGGAGGGAAGGCAGUGGAAUGAGCGGCGGACGGGUGAGUAACACGUAAGGAACCUGCCUCAAGGAUUGGGAUAACUCCGAGAAAUCGGAGCUAAUACCGGAUAGUUCAUCGGACCGCAUGGUCCGCUGAUGAAAGGCGCUCCGGCGUCACCUUGAGAUGGCCUUGUGGUGCAUUAGCUAGUUGGUGGGGUAACGGCCCACCAAGGCGACGAUGCAUAGCCGACCUGAGAGGGUGAUCGGCCACACUGGGACUGAGACACGGCCCAGACGCCUACGGGAGGCAGCAGUAGGGAAUCUUCCACAAUGGACGAAAGUCUGAUGGAGCAACGCCGCGUGAGUGAUGAAGGUUUUCGGAUCGUAAAACUCUGUUGUAAGGGAAGAACACGUACGAGAGGGAAUGCUCGUACCUUGACGGUACCUUACGAGAAAGCCACGGCUAACUACGUGCCAGCAGCCGCCGUAA
rnacentral:rRNA from 1 species